UGCAGGUGGGUGUGUUUGUGGAAUCC
rnacentral:piRNA from 1 species